rnacentral:lncRNA from 1 species
CAAGCCCUGUGUGUGCCAACAGAAUAGUCACAAUAGUCACGGAUGCUGCAGCUGCCAGCAUGUAAGUUAACAAGAAGAGAGGCCAGGAGCCAUGAGUCAACAUUUGAGAACAUCCUGAGAAAGAGAAGAAUCACCUAGAAACCAGGUCCCUUCACUCAACACUGGAGAGCAUUUACAUAUUGCCCGAUAUCCAAAAAUCAACUUUUAAAAAAUAUUUUAAGGGGAAAAAAGGAUGUCUACCACAGCAUGGCUUGCCAAGCAGUUCCAUGUCUGCACCCGGGAUCUGAACUGGUGAACCCCAGGCCGCUGAGAAGCAGAACAUGUGAACUUAACAGCUCUGCCACCCGGCUGGCCCCAAAUUUUUUCAGUCUUACGCAGAUGACCUUCAGAGUUGAACUGGGCCACCGGUUCUCCCGGGUCUCCAGUCGGCUGGCCCUUAGACGGCAGUACCAGGUCUCCUGAGUGUGCACCCUGGAGAUUUGCAACUUGCCACCCUCCAGAAGAGUGGAAGAAGACUGGAUAAAUUGGUCAAAGCCCAACACCCUCUCUGAGCCGGGUAUAAGAGUAGAUGAUCACACUGCUCUGUAAAGAAACGCGCAAACGCUCCAUCCUCUCUCUCUCAUGUCUUGGUCCUGGCUUCUAAGAGCAGGAUUUUACUCUUCGGACAGUUCAUUCAGGCAUCUGUAUGCACGCAGCUAGUUAAGUAAGAAGCUCAGGGUCUGCGCUAUACGCUCAGUCACUUCAAGUUGAAGGAGAAGUACCCUAGAUCACGAGCCUGGCAAGACUUGGGAGAAAAGUCCUACACUGGGGCACUAUGGUGCCUGCACAAGUGUUAGCAAAGAACAUGUCGUUACAUUUCAGCUGUUGCUUAUUGUUCAAAUAGCCACAUUCAGGAGGGGCUAAUAAGAUUUGAGGACCAAAUUCACACUUUGAAACCAUGUUAGUAAACAGGACUGAUCUGAGCACGUUCUCACACCAGGCAAUGUGGCCCAGGAUGUGACAGAACCAAAAUUAUAAUCAUCGCCAUUAAUGAUGAAUAGUUACUAUCUGCUUACCAUGCAGGAGGCAACACGCUAGAUAAUGAUGUAAACAAAUUAUAUCCAUUUAAAUCAGAGGGUCUCAGCUCCCUGCCUAUUAAGACCACCAGGAGAGCUUUUAGAAUAUGCUUGGAUCCAGCUACAGAGAAUUUGAAAAUGAUUGGCUUAUACUGGAAAACUACAUUUAUGAUAACUAUCUAUUCAAAUUCGCUUAGAAAUAGCUGUGGUAAUAUUUUUACUCACGAACUAUGAACGUAUCUCCAAUGCAGCAUCACUGAAGAGAAUUAGUUAUAUUCCCUGGCAAUAUUAUACACAAAAUGGCUUUAUAUAGCUUUGGUCAUAGUUACAUGUAUAUUUUUCCUAAGGAUAACUAUCAUUGAGGAAGUGAGUAAUUUUUAUCAUACUGUCCUGGAU